UGCAGACUUAAAUUGAGAUUA
rnacentral:piRNA from 1 species